UUCAAUUCUGCUAGGGAAGUCCUUUCAGAAAAACUUGAUUUGGCUGUAUUUUCUAAAGAACCAAGGGAUGGAGACUCUUCUUCAAAUACUCAUAGUGAUCUUGGGGUUGCAGGCACCAUGGGUCUGUAGCCAAGAGCUGGAGCAGAGUCCUCAGUCACUGAUUGUCCAAGAGGGAAAGGAGAUCACCAUAACCUGCAAUUCAUCAAAGACUUUGUAUACCUUACACUGGUAUAGGCAGAAGGAUGCUGAAGGGCUCAGCUUCUUGAUGAUGUUACGAAAAAGUGGAGAAGAGGAGAAAAGUCAUGAAAAAAUGACGUUCACAUUGGAUGAGAAAAAGCAGCGAAGCUCCCUUCAUAUUGCAGUCACCCGACUCAGCCACUCAGGCACCUACUUCUGUGGAGCAGAAGCACAGUGAUGUUCAGACCUCCUCGGGCUAUCCCCAAACCUGCAGCUGAGUCACAGGUGCUCUGUUGACACAGGAUGCUUGAAGAUAUUUACUAUAACAAGAAA